rnacentral:lncRNA from 1 species
AUGUUUGCUCCAUCGCAGCAUCACGGGGGAGGCUGGGCCAGGCAGAUUUAAAGGGACAGGGAGAGGAGAGGAGAGGGUGGGGAGAGGAGGAGAGGAAGAAGAGACAGUGGCGUGGAUAGCGUUGGGGGGCGGGGAUGCCUGGGCAGAAGUGAUGGGUGCCUGCUAAACCUGCGGUGAGGGAGGAGGCGAGGAGAGAGGCGAAAGGGAGGCGCAGAGACCCCCAGUGUGGAAAGGAACCCAGGGAUGCUGGUAGGGAGUGGGGUGAGGCCGAGAGGAGGGGAGAGGAGGCAGGGGGAGGAGACUGAGCUGAAGAUGGGGAGGCUGGGGGAGGCCGAAGCCAGCCGGGGGAGGAGAGAUGCUGGCGAGGCCGGGAGAGGGCGAGAAGAAUACAAAGAAAGAGGUGCAGGGAUUUUGACCAUAGAGAAAUCUCUCUUGCUUUUAUCAUCUCUGCAAUUUGUGUACCAAUCAACCUUCCAAAGAAGCAAUCAACUCCUAAACAACCAACUUCUAAAACUAAACGAAAACUGA